rnacentral:tRNA from 1 species
GCCUCGGUAGCUCAGCUGGUAGAGCGCCUGGCUGUUAACCAGGAUGUCGCAGGUUCGAGUCCUGCCCGGGGCG